rnacentral:tRNA from 1 species
GCCGACGUAGCUCAAUGGGAGAGCAGCUGAUUCGUAAUCAGCAGGUUGUAGGUUCAAAUCCUAUCGUCGGCUCCA